CAAGUGACAACACUGCCCACCAAUGGUAUGAAGCCAAGAAGGCAAUGUCUGGCAUUGUUUCCAAGGCAACGGACAAGUCUGAACACAGAGCUGCCUUGGAAGAACCAUAAAGGACUGUUUGCAGGACAAACAGGAACUGUGCAAAGUGGAUUUCUUAGGACAUGGCUUUCCUGAAAGCUGGCCCAGUGGACUGGAGAACUGGUAGAUGAUUGAUGCCACAAAGCCAGGUUAUAGUUGUUGGAUUUUUGGGACUGGGCCCCAGGGGAAGAAUACCUGUCCCAGCAAGCGCAGCUGGAGAUGUACAAGAAAAGUGGGACACAUGUCGAGACCUGCCAUCACCAUAGGCAACAUUCCUAAGCCAAGACAGUGCUGGAGAAUGGAAGAGUCUCUUCAGCUCUGGAGACAAAGGGAUGGUCCCAGUGAAAAAGUCUUCCUGAUCAAAAGGGGCUGCUCCACUCUCCUUUAUUUGCUGAUUGAAGGGAUUUAUAAAGUGAACCCUGGUUUCAGUACUGCACUUGCAAAGCAUGAGGAUGUGUAUCAAGAGAUGCCCAGAAGCACUAUUUUGCCUCAAAGGAUAAUGAGUGUAAUGACACCAGGAUACAGCUACUCAGUUCUCUAACUGACCCUAUGGAAGUGGUUUCCCAAGGCUAUUUUUCUUAGCUCGUGAGUCUGUCCUAUAUCUUUGGGAUUCCCUGGUGGCCUCUUCUUCUAGUGCUGGCCCAGUCUUAACUCUGUUUGGCUUCUGACCUGAGAUAAGGUCAGUCAGGUGCUGCUUUACCUACUCUGACUACAGAGAUAUUUCUGAUUUUAGGCUAGAAUAUUUGAAGUUGUAUUUUCCAUAUAGGAGCAUUCAUCUUUUGAUCUCUUGCAUGCCUUAACAUACGGCUUUUCAAUCGGUGGUACGUGUACCACCAGUGGUACUUUAGUACCUGGCAGGUGGUACAUGACCCCUAGCCAAGUGUAGCAGGGAACAAGCUAAAGUGGCACUGCAUAGGCCUGGAGGAGAUCAGCUGGAGCUGCAUGGCUUGGCAGAAGCCCCAGGACCUGUGUGCACGGCUACAUGCUGAUUGAAGCUUCGGGUGCACCCGGAAGAGAAAAGGAGGAGGGGGGUGGAGAGAGGAGAAGCCAUAAAAGGAGAUUUUGGCGAGAAAGGGAGAAAAAAAACACGGAGAAAGAAAGAGAAGAGGCUUUUGUUAGCGAAGCUGUGAGGAGAGAGAGAGAGAGAGAGCAGCCUUUGCAAGCAAAGAGUGUGUGUGAGAGAGAGAGCGGGGGGCUUUUGUAAGCAAAGUGAGUGAGAGCAAGGGGCUUUUGCAAGCAAAGAGUGAAAAAGUGAGCAAGGGGCUUUUGUGAGCAAAGGGUGAGAGAAAAAGGGAAAAGAGAGGGGGAGAAGAGAAAAAGAAAAGCCAUUGACUUCUGACUUCCUCUGUCGCAGUAGAAGGAAGCAUUAACAUUG